UGGGGAAUCUUGCGCAAUGGGCGAAAGCCUGACGCAGCCAUGCCGCGUGAAUGAUGAAGGUCUUAGGAUUGUAAAGUUCUUUCGCCCGUGACGAUGAUGACGGUAACGGGAGAAGAAGCCCCGGCUAACUUCGUGCCAGCAGCCGCGGUAAUACGAAGGGGGCUAGCGUUGUUCGGAAUUACUGGGCGUAAAGCGCGCGUAGGCGGUUUUGCAAGCCAGAGGUGAAAUGCCUGAGCUCAACUUAGGAAUUGCCUUUGGGACUGCGAGGCUUUGAGGACUGGAGAGGUGAGUGGAAUUCCCAGUGUAGAGGUGAAAUUCGUAGAUAUUGGGAAGAACACCAGUGGCGAAGGCGGCUCACUGGCCAGUUUCUGACGCUGCAGCGCGAAAGCGUGGGGAUCAAACAGG
rnacentral:rRNA from 1 species